CUUUGCCUGUGAGCUUUCCGAUAUUUCCACUCUGGUCCUGGCCAGAAACACUGUGAGAACACCCUUUCAUUUGGUAUUUGAGCCCUUAUGCCUCUGUUCCUGGCGGCAGACCAAAGGGAACAAACGCAACUGAACAUUUCAGAACCUCAAAAUAGUAAACCCAAAAUGGUUUGCUCUGCUUUUGGUUCUAAAAAUGAUUGACCCGAGUGCCUUGUUCCAAACGAUCUGCUUGAUCCAUCUCUAGUGUAGAUUACUGGAUUUUAGAAACCUUUGGAGACCAUUUUUAAAAAUAGAUAACUGAAAGCAAAGAAAAUAGUCAACAUUAUUAUGAUACAGUUAUUCAUCGCCACUGCAGAGACUAGAUUUUAUAAGUGUACUUUAUGUUCCAGUGGGAAGUACUUUGAGGAAGAAGGGGAUUGGAAUUUAGAGUGGGAUAUCUGGGCUUGAAUGUGGACUUGGUCCAUUACUAUUUCACUACUAGGGUAUAUUUCUGAGGCUCAGUCUCCCAUGGAUAACAUUAAUAAUAAAAAUGAAAAGUAAUCAUGCCCAUUUUAAUUGAGUCACCCUGAAGAGUAAGGUAUUUUUUUAACCUUUAUUCUUUUAUUUUUAUGUGGUGCUAAGGAUUGAACUCAGUGCCACGCACAUGCAAGACAUGCACUCUACCAAUUGUCUAUAUCCAGCCCCAAGAGCAAGGUCUGGCCCACCAUAAUGUUUCUCCUGAGUGUGUCUUAUCUCCACCGGGAUGUCUUCAAGCUCAGUAUAUCAAGCCUGAAGCUCAUCAAUUGUCUCUCACCUGCAUCCUGGUGGAGGUGGACCCUGGAGCCAGCCAUUGAGUCUGUUUCCUUCUGGCAGUGGCACCCAUGGGUUGAGAUGUUGGUGUAUGGCAAGGAACAAGAACAUUGACAGAAGAGACCAUAUUCUUCAGGAUCUGAUUGAGACAAAUAUGUCUCGGGCUCUGGAUGUCAAGUAUGCAUUGGGCGAAGAGAAGAAUUGGAGUGGGAGAAAACAAGAGUUGUCAUGGGAACCAGAGCCUGCAAUCAGAGGAACAGUGUGCAGGCUGACAUGAGUGGAGCAGCUUUCUUCCACAAUGAUGUUCUACCUCACCGUGGGCCCAGAGCACUGGAGUCAUCUGACCAUGAGCUGAACCUCUGAUAUCAUGAGCCAAAAUAAACUUUUCCUCCUCUAUGUUGCUUUUGUCAGGUGUUUUGGUAACAGUGACGAAAGUCUGACAAAUACACUAUGGUAUAUUUAUCUUUCCUUCUCUAAAAGCUUAUUACUAUGUCACUUGAUUUCAUUUUAUGUCAGAAGACUUUGCCUUGGAGUACAAAAUUCUUAUAUUUCCUAUGCUAUGGAGAGAUGUGCUGUAUAUUUAUUUCCCCCUGAUGUUCUGUAUGAUGCCUGUCUCUAAUGGAUGAAGUAAAGUCCUAGAGAACAAUAGCUUUCUGUCACUGUCCAGACCCAGGUAUAUACAGAUCUAUCACACUGAAAUGUAAGAACAUGUAUGUAAAAAUUGUUAAAAGGGAAAAGUAGGGCUAAAAAGAAUGUACAGGUGGUUCUGAUAGAGGAUAG